GGGUGUGGGGCUGAGCAGGCCUGGAAGAAACAAGGCUGCUGGGCUGAGCUUGGGGCCAGCCGCUCAUUUCACCAAGCUGAGCUGUAAUCACAUCCCCAGGUAGCACUGUGCCUUCAGAAUAUGACUGAGCAGCAUUAUGUCUGCAGUGCUAAGCAGGUGUGAUCAAUAGAUGGAGAGCUGUGACCAGCUGGGCUGUGAUGCGGAGCCUGCAACCAAGCUGCCUGGGGGAAAUUCAGGAGGCCAGCCAUCGUCUUUAACCAGGGCAGCCCCGAGAGUGUCUGCAAGGGCUGCAUGCCCUGAGUAGAUCCUCGCAGAUGCUGAUCAGGGUGUCUUCUGGGCUCCACCUGGCACAGAAAAGCCAGCAAAGCUCCAGGGGCUUCCCUUCUUUCCUGGCAGAGAAAGAGCAGGCAGAUUCAGAGCCCCGUGAGGCUGUCUUGAGCUCCACCGGGAUCUAGGGAGAGCCAGCAGCACCACCAAGAUAUUUACGUUGUGAACUGGUAAAAUCUGAACUGCAGAAUAUCAAUUUCCAGACAUUCUUCCUAGAUGAUGCCGUCUGCCACGGAGACCAUGUAGAUGGAUUGAAUGGGGAUAUGAUGAGGAUGACCACCCCUGCAUUUGCUAAGUUCUUGGGAGUGGCAUCGAUCUCAGCCAUUCCACUGGAAUAGGAUAAUGGACCUUAACUAGUGGGCUGAAGGCAAUGAGGGGAUGUGAGGAUGCAUCUUGUGAAGGACAAAAGUCAUCCUGUAAGGAUUCAUGAGACCUGAGCAGCCAGCCAGCCCUGAAAUGGUUGGAACAGGAGAAAGAAGAAGAGCUCGACAGAUACCCUGCCUGGGCUGGCAGCUAGCUGCACCACAAGCUGGCCAGCUGACAGCGGGCACAUCCCUUCAUCACCCAGUGCCUUUCUUCCCUCUUGUGAAAAUGGAGAUAUGCUGAGAAGGUUACUUCAGCUCAUCCAGAGAAAGCUUCUUCAGCUAACUAGGCUGUAGAAAGGGCCUACAGCCUAAAUUUUCAAAAACAAGUUAAUGCCAGAAUAUAAACUCCGUGAAGUAA
ensembl:lncRNA LINC00539 long intergenic non-protein coding RNA 539